rnacentral:rRNA from 1 species
UACAAGAAAGACUGGUGUUUAUCAUCUUUAUUAGGUUUUAAGGGUACCUAGACGGAUUAUAAUUUGAAAAAAAUAAUCUAGAGUUAUAAGAAAUAAGGAGUUAUAUAGAACCAUAAGAAGAGAGAUCAAAUGUUAUGACACUUAUGGGACUGAUAAAGGUGAAAACAAUACUCUGAAACAACUGACGUUGAGGU